CACACAGUUGUUCUCUGCCCUUCUCCCAUUCCCCUCUGUUGUCUCACUCUCUCCGUGAGCAUCAAUACGGCCCAUUGAUUCAAUAAGGCUUUGCCGUGCCAGAGUCAGAGGAGCUGUGUUGGAAUAUCGGUUGCCCGGGACAACAGUCCACCCCCACAUCCUACAUGGUAGCCCAUGUCACCAUUGUUCCGAUAUUUCACUGUAAACCGAGUGAGGUCAUGUAUGUAACUCUGUCGCUAUACUGCUUGGGUGGACAGGAAUACUGUAUAAACGUGUAUGUGUGUGUGUGUGUGUGUGUGUGUGCAUGUGAGUGAUGCGUGGGAGAAAGGAGGCGAUGAGUCAUGGCACACAUACCACUAGGACACAAGAGCUCCCCCUGUUGCCGGGCGCAGGGGGAAGCCCAGCGGUGUGGGUGUAUUGUCUGGAAGAACAAAGCUGACGGUGACAUCACAGGACGCGUUUCUCCUCCACCAGUCAAAGAUCGCAGUGAACUGACAAAGGUUAACUGCGAUUGCGCCUGAGCAGCCCGGACGAGGGUGGGCCUUUGUGUGGCGAGAUGGAAUGCGGUGCGCUUGGCAUUUUUCAGCAAAAGGGCAUCUGUAUCGAAGCCGCCGCCAAGAGGUCCGCCGGGUGAGAUCACGACUGCCGAAUACUCAAGGGCGAAAGAAUUUCGACACCGGAGCGACGUGUCAACGUGGAGUUUUGCAGACAGACAAGAAAGUGACUGACAAAGCCGAUGGCAGUUGGAGCAGCGAGGUCGACAUUGAUCAUCCCAUAAUGGCAUUUGGAGGUGAGUUGAACAGCUGAGG